rnacentral:rRNA from 1 species
GACGAACGCUGGCGGCGUGCUUAACACAUGCAAGUCGAGCGGCGUGGCGAACGGGUGUGUAACACGUGGGGGAUCUGCCUUGCACGUCGGGAUUAGCUUGGGAAACUGGGGCCAAUACCGGCAAGUGCAAGAUGAGCUCGCGGCCUAUCAGCUUGUUGGGGGGGGAAUGGCCUACCAAGGCGCCGAGGGGUAGCCGGCCUGAGAGGGGGUACGGCCACAUUGGGACUGCGAUACGGACCAGACUCCGACGGGAGGCAACAGUGGGGAAUAUUGCACAAUGGGGGGACGCCUGAUGCAGCGACGCUGCGUGGGGGAUGAAGGCCUUCGGGUUGUAAACUCCUUUCGGCAGGGACGCGGUACCUGUAUAAGAAGCACCGGCUAACUACGUGCCAGCAGCCGCGGUAAUUC